rnacentral:rRNA from 1 species
AUGGACGACGACCUCGACCUCGACGCCGCCGCCGGCCUCGCCUCCCUCGCCUCGUCUGGCAUGACAACUGCCCCCUCCGGCAAAGGCAAGCCUCCCGUCGCGGCUGCCGCCGUCGCCGCCGCCGCGCAGCAGGAGGUCACCAACGCCCGCGUCGCGGCGGCAACGAGGGAGGCGCUCUACAUGCUAGGGUUAAACCCUAGCCAGCACGGCCUCGUCAACGCCGCCAUCGCCGCGGCCAGCACUGGCUCAUCGGCGUUCCCUCGGAUGCCCGACGUGAGCGUGGUGGCGCCUUCCACGCCCGCGCCCGCACCCAUCGACACACCGGUGGCAGGUGGCUCGUCAUCCGGGGGCGCGAGGAAACACGGGCGGCAGAUACCGACCGGCGUGCUCCCGGACGCCCGUAACCUGUUCGAGGAAAUGUCGUCCGCCGUCGACGAGGACUACAUGCACAACCUCAUCUUCGAGGGGCGGUUUUCCGGAGACUACGGGCAAGAGGAAGAGGACGAGUGCGACAUCAAAGUGGAGCCUUUGUUCGAGGACGAGCUCGCCAACCAAGCCGCCAGUCCGAAGCCCAAGCGCAAGAGCAAGCGCACGAAGGCAUACACGGCGGACGAGGACAAGCUUCUUUGCAAGUGUUGGCGAGACAUUGGACAAGACCCCAAGACGGGCGCCGAACAAAAGCAUUCAAACUUUUGGAUUCGUGUCCACCGGGAGUUUCAUGAGCGCAAGAAGUUUCCGCCUUACCAAAUUAGCGUCAAGGCCCGCCCCGUGAGCGGCAUCGGCAUGCAAGACAUGGCAUUUCAAGCUUUGGAGGCAUUCAAGGUCCAACACAAUGGCAAAUGCUUCAACCUCUCCCAUUGCUUUCGGGUCAUCAAGGACGAGGAUAAGUUCAAGGCGCAAUAUGCCGCCCUCAAGUCGCGUGGGGGGAAGCAAGCCGUGGAGGAGGUUGGGGACGGCGAGCCGGCACGGCCUCGGGUGAAGACCAACUCCAAGAAGGAGGACAAGCGGGAUGCAGCAUCUAACACCUUGAUCGCAAGUGUGGAGGGCAUGAUGAACAAGGACUCAAGGGAGGAGGAGCACCAGCGUUUCAAAGAAGAGCAAAUGAACGCCUUCAUGGAGAUCCAAAGGAGGAGGCUUGAGAUGGACGCGGAGAAGCAAGCCAAGAUGCUAGAGAUUGAGGCCGCCAACACCAAGACCAAGGCGAAAGAAGUGGUUGUCGCGAGCAUGAUGACCGGGGUGGAGAUCAUGAAGGUGGAUCUCAACACCGUGUCGCCAAGGAAGAGGCCGUGGUUCAAGAAGAUGCGGGCCGACAUGCUCAAGUUCACCGACGAGUGA